UACGUAGGAGGCUAGCGUUGCUCGGAAUCACUGGGCGUAAAGGGUGCGUAGGCGGGUCUUUAAGUCAGGGGUGAAAUCCUGGAGCUCAACUCCAGAACUGCCUUUGAUACUGGCGAUCUUGAGUCCGGGAGAGGUGAGUGGAACUGCGAGUGUAGAGGUGAAAUUCGUAGAUAUUCGCAAGAACACCAGUGGCGAAGGCGGCUCACUGGCCCGGUACUGACGCUGAGGUGCGAAAGCGUGGGGAGCAAACAGGG
rnacentral:rRNA from 1 species